rnacentral:rRNA from 1 species
GGGCCCAGAUCGUUUACCGUGAAAAAAUUAGAGUGUUCAAAGCAGGCAGACCAUUCUUCUGCCACGAAUACAUUAGCAUGGGAUAAUGGAAUAGGACCCUGUCCUCCUAUUUUGUGUGUUGGUUUUCGAGGACCGGGUAAUGAUAAUAGGGAUAGUUGGGGGCAUUAAUAUUUAAUUGUCAGAGGUGAAAUUAUUGGAUUUAUGAAAGAUUGAAUUCUGCGAAAGCAUCUGCCAAGGAUGUUUUCAUUAAUCAAGAACGAAAGUUAGGGGAUCGAAGACGAUCAGAUACCGUCGUAGUCUUAACCAUAAACGAUGCCGACCAGCGAUUAGGAGACGUUGAAUACAAAUCUCCACCGUCAGAUCGGCCUCCUGGCUGUAGGCGUAUGAUCGCUGCGGAAUGGCUGGCUCAACGAACACCCGCCGUCCCCCUUCU